rnacentral:rRNA from 1 species
UACGUAGGGGGCAAGCGUUGUCCGGAAUUAUUGGGCGUAAAGAGCGCGUAGGCGGUCCGAUAAGUCGGCUGUGAAAGUCAGGGGCUCAACCCCUGAAUGCCGGCCGAUACUGUCGGGCUAGAGUCCGGAAGAGGCGAGUGGAAUUCCCGGUGUAGCGGUGAAAUGCGCAGAUAUCGGGAGGAACACCAAUGGCGAAGGCAGCUCGCUGGGACGGUACUGACGCUGAGGUGCGAAAGCGUGGGGAGCAAACAGG